rnacentral:lncRNA from 1 species
GUGCAAGACUGUGCGGUCUUCCGGAGGGUUCCUGGGAAGCAGGUCGGGCGGAGCCCCGGUCCGGAAGCCCGGCCCAGGAUUGUGUGCCAGUGCCUGCGGGCCCAGGGGCCAGCGGCCGAAGGCCCUUGAACUGUGCGGAAAGGAGCGAAGGCAUGGCAUCCUGGAGAUGUGGGAGCCUCCUGGAUAACCACGGCCCUUUCCUCCCUCAGGGUCUCCGCACUUGCUGUUCCACAUCCCUAAAAACCUCUUUUCCUUGCCCCUGGCAAAACUGCUUCCUUCCCAUCCUUCUGGCUCUGGCAAAAACGCCCUUCCUCAGAGGUUUCCCUGACUUCAGCUGGGGAGGCUCCUGGCUCUUGUUACCUUGUCACCUGCCUCAUAAGGAUGUUUUGAGCAUUAAAUGAGAUCAUCCGGGCUCCAGGAACAGUGCCCUGCACAGAGCGAGAACCCCAAAGUCCCUAACUUUGUGCUGGGCACCAUGCUGGAUGUGAGGGAUGCAGCAGUGACCACAACAAACAGGGGCACCAAGAGAGAGCCCCUGGGCAGGAACCUUUCAAUCCACAGGACGCAAGGUCUGCCAGCUGGGCAGAGAUGGGUUCCUCUCCUCUUUCACUGCCAACAUCCCAGCUGGAGGCUGGCACAGUGUGGGCACAGACAAACGUUUGUUGGAAGGAGUGACUGAAGCCAGGCUGAAAAGGCAAGUUUACAACUGACCUUCCUUCAACCACCAG